GUAACAGGGUUUCAGUAGGUGACCUGCGGAAGGAUAUUA
rnacentral:rRNA from 1 species